AGGGACAUAGUUUAACGGCAGAACUACGGUCUCCAAAACCGUCGAUGUGGGUUCGAUUCCUACUGUCCCUG
rnacentral:tRNA from 1 species